rfam:Trichobilharzia regenti genome assembly, scaffold: TRE_scaffold0004964
GUACUGCUGGAGAGUCCCACACUAGGACGAAACAGCUGUCCAGUAC